AAAAAAAGGGUUUUGCUCUCUGCAGAGGGGUCUGAGAGCCUAGACGGCGUCCGAACAAUCGCCGCCGUGUCGGCCACCACUCACCGGCGCCGGUGCCUCCGUACACGGCGGUCGGAGGGCCAAAAAUCCCUCUUUUCGACCGAUCUAAAAGCAGGUUCUUUUCUUCUUUUCUUUUAACUCUAUUUGUAUAUAUAUAUGUAUAUGCUACAGACGUAUAAAAACUAGUAAAUCGAUAGGUAGUUUCGAAAUAAAAAUAAAUAAAUAAAUAGAUAAAAGGGAAAGAAACCUUGAAUCCUUUUAUGCUUUUUUUUUUUGCUGGAAUCUGUUUCUCUUUGCUUUUAUAUUUCUAAGUGAUGUUUCUUUUUUACAAAAGAAAAUAAGGGAAGCCGAUCCUUAAAACUAUAGCCAAGUUCGGCUUUUAUACAUCUUUCCUAUUGCUAGUGCUGUCAUUUCUCUUUAAAUGUUUGCAGGUACUUGAUGGCAUGACAAUGGCGGUGGAGCAGAGGCAAGUGGAGCGCAGCGUUUAGGGCGGUGGCAAGUAAGGUACUAGGGUUUCAAUCUCUGAAACUCUGUCUCACGUGGGCUUGACUUAUUGGGCCAGGGUGCUGGGUUAAUUUUGUAAAUGGGUUAGGGGUUUUAAUUUUUAAUUUUUGGGUUUGUAAUUUAUUUGGAUACUGGGUUGGGCAAAAUGGGCUGUACACAAUUCAUCAUCUUUAUAAUUUAUUAAGGGGCCACAACAUAAUUUUUCAUUUAAGAUAGGGUGAAUGUCCCUACCUGGUCCCUCUAAAUUUACCUGUGUGUUGUAUUAAAAAAAAAAUCCUUUUAAUGUAAAUUGUUGAAAGAAAAAUUUUAGUGAUGGGGCAGUGAGUAUUUUAUAAGUGCC
rnacentral:lncRNA from 1 species